UACGAAGGGGGCUAGCGUUGCUCGGAAUCAUUGGGCGUAAAGGGUGCGUAGGUGGCGCUGUAAGUGGGGUGUGAAAUCCCGGGGCUUAACUCCGGAACUGCAUUCCAUACUGCGGUGCUUGAGGACUGGAGAGGAGACUGGAAUUUACGGUGUAGCAGUGAAAUGCGUAGAGAUCGUAAGGAAGACCAGUGGCGAAGGCGGGUCUCUGGACAGUUCCUGACACUGAGGCACGAAGGCCAGGGGAGCAAACGGG
rnacentral:rRNA from 1 species